AGCUAUGAACAUCAUGAAGACUGUGAAAGCGUAGUGCUCGGAUACGGAAGAAUCGAUGAAGGUUGGAAGGCAUCUCAACAGAUAGCUGUGGUACAUUCCCCCGUGCGGGCGGUACAGAUACUCCGCCAACAGCCGCUGGAGGAUGCGGCCUGCAGGGCAACCGCCGAGUAUGCACGGCA